rnacentral:snRNA from 1 species
GCACUCACUUUGGAAGCACUUAUACUAAAACUGGAAUGAUACAGAGAAGGUUAGCAUGACCCCUAUGCAAGGAUAACACACAAAUUCGUGAAGCGGUCCAUAUUUUC